rnacentral:rRNA from 1 species
AUUGAACGCUGGCGGCAUGCCUUACACAUGCAAGUCGAACGGUAACAGGUCUUUCGGGAUGCUGACGAGUGGCGAACGGGUGAGUAAUACAUCGGAACGUGCCUAGUAGUGGGGGAUAACUACUCGAAAGAGUGGCUAAUACCGCAUGAGAUCUAUGGAUGAAAGCAGGGGACCUUUGGGCCUUGUGCUACUAGAGCGGCCGAUGGCAGAUUAGGUAGUUGGUGGGAUAAAAGCUUACCAAGCCUACGAUCUGUAGCUGGUCUAGAGGACGAUCAGCCACACUGGGACUGAGACACGGCCCAGACUCCUACGGGAGGCAGCAGUGGGGAAUUUUGGACAAUGGGCGCAAGCCUGAUCCAGCAAUGCCGCGUGCAGGAUGAAGGCCUUCGGGUUGUAAACUGCUUUUGUACGGAACGAAAAGUCUUGGGUUAAUACCCUGGGAUCAUGACGGUACCGUAAGAAUAAGCACCGGCUAACUACGUG